AGAGUUUGAUCCUGGCUCAGGAUGAACGCUAGCUACAGGCUUAACACAUGCAAGUCGGGGGGCAGCAUGUUGGUUGCUUGCAACCAACGAUGGCGACCGGCGCACGGGUGAGUAACGCGUAUCCAACCUACCCUUGUCCAUCGGAUAACCCGUCGAAGGGCGGCCUAACACGAUAUGCGGUUCACAGCAGGCAUCUAACGUGAACGAAAUGUGAAGGAGAAGGAUGGGGAUGCGUCUGAUUAGCUUGUUGGCGGGGUAACGGCCACAAGGCUACGAUCAGUAGGGGUUCUGAGAGGAAGGUCCCCCACAUUGGAACUGAGACACGGUCCAAACUCCUACGGGAGGCA
rnacentral:rRNA from 1 species